rnacentral:rRNA from 1 species
CCUACGGGUGGCAGCAGUGGGGGAUAUUGCACAAUGGGGGGAACCCUGAUGCAGCGACGCCGCGUGGGUGAAGGAGCGUUUCGGCGCGUAAAGCCCUAUCGGCAGGGACGAAGAUGACGGUACCUGACAAAGAAGCCCCGGCUAACUACGUGCCAGCAGCCGCGGUAAUACGUAGGGGGCAAGCGUUAUCCGGAUUUACUGGGUGUAAAGGGGGCGCAGACGGCAAUGAAAGCCAGGAGUGAAAGCCCGGGGCCCAACCCCGGGACUGCUCUUGGAACUGCAUGGCUGGCGUACAGGAGGGGCAGGCGGAAUUCCUAGUGUAGCGGUGGAAUGCGUAGAUAUUAGGAGGAACACCGGUGGCGAAGGCGGCCUGCUGGACUGUGACUGACGUUGAGGCCCAAAGGCGUGGGGAGCAAACAGGAUUAGAUACCCUAGUAGUC